GUUUUUAUUGAUUUACUUACAGCAUAUUCAUAACAAAUGACACAUAGCAGGGUGUUAUUAAGUCAGUUAAAAACAUUGGAUCAUCAGUCCAGAAAAUGGAAAUGAUACAAAUUAAUCAUGUUGCAAACAUUUUAUCUUCACAAUAAACAAAGAACCGGAGGUUGGGGGAAAACUACGGUUAUACGAUGAGAUCUGGGAGGGGGUUGUCU